CUCCGAGUCCCUUCAUCAUCACAGGCAGCAGGAGAGGAGACCCGCAGGUGCCACGUGCCAGCCAGACUCUGCCACCUUGUUGUGACAGGCUCAGUCCAGUCCACCACAGGCAGGAGGAGAAUCGCUCCACCACCAGCAGCCAGCAGUGCCACCACCACCACCACCACCACCACCACCACCACCACCAGCACCACCGUCGUCGUUAUCAUCGUAUCAUCAUUAAUCAGAGUUUGACAACAUCAUCGUCACGUCAAGACUUGUGUCAUCCCUACUCACAAAUUCACAUAGAUGCCUGGCAUGCAUUGCAUUUGCUAGUAAAUAAAAAUGGCAGAAGUAGAACAAAAGGAACGAGAGAUAAAAAAUGCACCUAGCUUUUUAAAAGCAAACAUCUGGGAACAUUUUGGCUUUUAUGAAAAAAGUGGGAAGCACGAAUUGGACAAGUCAUACGCUGUGUGUAAAAUCUGUCACACAAAAAUUAAAUAUCUAGGGAAUACUACUAAUCUGAGAAACCACGUCAGCCGUUUUCACCCAGA